UACGAAGGGGGCUAGCGUUGCUCGGAAUCACUGGGCGUAAAGGGCGCGUAGGCGGCGUUUUAAGUCGGGGGUGAAAGCCUGUGGCUCAACCACAGAAUGGCCUUCGAUACUGGGACGCUUGAGUAUGGUAGAGGUUGGUGGAACUGCGAGUGUAGAGGUGAAAUUCGUAGAUAUUCGCAAGAACACCGGUGGCGAAGGCGGCCAACUGGACCAUUACUGACGCUGAGGCGCGAAAGCGUGGGAAGCAAACAGG
rnacentral:rRNA from 1 species